AGGAGCCGGAUGCGUUAGUAGCGCACGUCCGGAUCUGUGCGGGGGGUAGCCGGUAACGGCUAUUCCUACCGCGAC
rnacentral:misc_RNA from 1 species